rnacentral:rRNA from 1 species
ACGGGGGCCCGCACAAGCGGUGGGGCAUGUGGUUUAAUUCGAUGAUACGCGAGGAACCUUACCUGGGCUCAAAUGUAUGUUGACGUAUUCUGAAAGGGAUACUUCUUCGGACAAUAUACAAGGUGCUGCAUGGUUGUCGUCAGCUCGUGCCGUGAGGUGUCGGGUUAAGUCCCCAUAACGAGCGCAACCCCUACUGCUAGUUGCCAGCGGGUCAUGCCGGGGACUCUAGCGGAACUGCCAGCGUAAGCUGCGAGGAAGGUGGGGAUGACGUCAAAUCAGCACGGCCCUUACGUCCAGGGCUACACACGUGUUACAAUGGUCGGUACAAAGGGUUGCCAAGCCGCGAGGUGGAGCUAAUCCCAUAAAACCGAUCGUAGUCCGGAUCGCAGUCUGCAACUCGACUGCGUGAAGUCGGAAUCGCUAGUAAUCGUGAAUCAGAAUGUCACGGUGAAUACGUUCCCGGGCCUU